rnacentral:tRNA from 1 species
GGAGAAGUACCCAAGAGGUCGAAGGGGCUCCCCUGCUAAGGGAGUAGGAGGUGUGAAUCUCGCCCGGGUUCAAAUCCCGGCUUCUCCGCCA